GUUGGCAUAUGGUUACCGUAUAAUUCAUCCCUUUGAUCCUAAUAUUCAAGGUGACUAAAGGGUUUAACUGUCAAUCCUGAAAAGGUCAUCUACAUUAUAUUUCAACUUUUCAAAUCCAUCACAUGGAUUACCCCAAUAGAGAUUUUACUAAAUUGAAAUACAGUGAUGCAUUAACUCCUACUUAUUCAGAGGGGUCAAUUGCAUCUUGACUCACAC
rnacentral:lncRNA from 1 species